rnacentral:rRNA from 1 species
AAGGUGGGGAUGACGUCAAGUCAUCUAUGGCCCUUACGGCCUGGGCUACACACGUGCUACAAUGGUACGGUACAAAGGGUUGCCAAGCCGCGAGGUGGAGCUAAUCCCAAUAAAACCGAUCGUAGUCCGGAUCGCAGUCUGCAACUCGACUGCGUGAAGUCGGAAUCGCUAGUAAUCGUGAAUCAGAAUGUCACGGUGAAUACGUUCCCGGGCCUU